UACGGAGGAUGCAAGCGUUAUCCGGAUUGAUUGGGCGUAAAGCGUCUGUAGGUGGUUACGCUAGUCGGCUGUUAAAGAUCAGGGCUGAACCCUGAGCAAGCAGUCGAAACUGCGUGGCUGGAGUACGGUAGGGGCAGAGGGAAUUCCCGGUGUAGCGGUGAAAUGCGUAGAUAUUGGGAAGAACACCCGUGGCGAAAGCGCUCUGCUGGACUGCAACUGACAUUGAGGGACGAAAGCUAGGGGAGCGAAUGGG
rnacentral:rRNA from 1 species